GGAGUUGGAGAUGACUGGACAGGGAAAACCUUUACCUCUUUAUUGAUCUUAAGGAUUGAUUUGGCUGAUCUGGCAAGUUAGAUGGCUGAUUCCCUCUGCCUUCACCACUCCAUGUGUGUCCUCCCUGAAACUACAUGCUCAGAUCACCCCAGAUAGAUCAAGGGAAUGCAAGAAACUGCAGUCCCCUGCUAGAAUUUCCAAAAUCCAUUUAUAGGACUCUUGAUGUAUUGUAGAGCUAAGUGACCACCUGGGUGUCAAACAUCUGUACUUUAGACUUAGAAAUAUUC
rnacentral:snRNA from 1 species